GGGGGUGUAAUAGAUUCGACGGGUAUCUGUUACGGCUCGGGAGCAGGUAUUGGUUGGCCAGGCCAAUUCAAACAGGGCCAAAAAAAUAACUAACGACCAUCAAGUCGCUUGGGCUAACGCUUAGUCCACUGCCGUCUCUGCGCUUUCCGCACGCGGAGGCAGGGCAGUCAUCAUGCGGAAUGCGGCGCGGCGGGCGCGUUUCGUCCCGCUUCGCUUAAGACCAACGGAACAAAUCACGGGGUUGCCUCCGCGCGCUUACCCCGCGAUUAUCGGGCGCGGAUAAACCUGUAGGGCCUGAACUGUUAGGAUGUUCGGACGGGGGUGCGAAUCCCCCCACCUCCACU
rnacentral:tmRNA from 1 species